GUGGGGAAUAUUGGACAAUGGGCGCAAGCCUGAUCCAGCCAUGCCGCGUGUGUGAUGAAGGCCUUAGGGUUGUAAAGCACUUUUGUCCGGGAAGAUAAUGACUGUACCGGAAGAAUAAGCCCCGGCUAACUUCGUGCCAGCAGCCGCGGUAAUACGAAGGGGGCUAGCGUUGCUCGGAAUCACUGGGCGUAAAGGGCGCGUAGGCGGACUCUUAAGUCGGGGGUGAAAGCCCAGGGCUCAACCCUGGAAUUGCCUUCGAUACUGAGAGUCUUGAGUUCGGAAGAGGUUGGUGGAACUGCGAGUGUAGAGGUGAAAUUCGUAGAUAUUCGCAAGAACACCAGUGGCGAAGGCGGCCAACUGGUCCGAUACUGACGCUGAGGCACGAAAGCGUGGGGAGCAAACAGGAUUAGAAACCCUUGUAGUCC
rnacentral:rRNA from 1 species